rnacentral:rRNA from 1 species
UACGUAGGGGGCUAGCGUUGUCCGGAAUCAUUGGGCGUAAAGCGCGUGUAGGCGGUUCGGUAAGUCCGCUGUGAAAGUCGGGGGCUCAACCCUCGAAUGCCGGUGGAUACUGUCGGGCUAGAGUGCGGAAGAGGCGAGUGGAAUUCCUGGUGUAGUGGUGAAAUGCGUAGAGAUCCGGAGGAACACCAGUGGCGAAGGCGACACGCUGGGCCGUACCUGACACUGAUGCGCGACAGCAUGGGGAGCAAACAGG